AGUGAACGCUGGCGGUAGGCCUAACACAUGCAAGUCGAACGGCAGCACAGUAAGAGCUUGCUCUUACGGGUGGCGAGUGGCGGACGGGUGAGGAAUACAUCGGAAUCUACUUUUUCGUGGGGGAUAACGUAGGGAAACUUACGCUAAUACCGCAUACGACCUACGGGUGAAAGCAGGGGAUCUUCGGACCUUGCGCGAUUGAAUGAGCCGAUGUCGGAUUAGCUAGUUGGCGGGGUAAAGGCCCACCAAGGCGACGAUCCGUAGCUGGUCUGAGAGGAUGAACAGCCCCACCUGAACCUAGGCACGGUCCCGACCCCUACGGGAGGCAAGAGUGGGGAAUUUUGGGACAUUGGCCCAAGCCUGAACCCGCCCUACCGCGUGGGUGAAGAAGGCCCUCCGGUUUGAAAACCCCUUUGUUUGGAAAGAAAAGCCGCAGGUUAAUACCCCGCUGUUCUGACGGUACCCAAAGAAUAAGCACCGGCUAACUUCGUG
rnacentral:rRNA from 1 species